rnacentral:rRNA from 1 species
UCUCAGUUCGGAUUGGAGUCUGCAACUCGACCCCACGAAGCUGGAUUCGCUAGUAAUCGCGCAUCAGCCAUGGCGCGGUGAAUACGUUCCCGGGCCUUGUACACACCGCCCGUCAAGCCAUGAAAGCCGGGGGCGCCUGAAGUCCGUGACCGCGAGGGUCGGCCUAGGGUGAAACCGGUGAUUGGGGCUAAGUCGUAACAAGGUAAC